AUUUCUUGUCAAAGUAACGACAAACCGACGUUACCCCAGUCCACCCAUUACUGAAAAUGCCUUUUCGAUUUCAGGACAUCCGCAGGUCAUCCAAGGCAACAGUCAGACAGCUUGAAUACCGAGCGCUGCGUCCGAGUGUCACUUCUUUCUUUUUGAAGUCUCCCUGGGCAGCGAGUGCGUGACAGUAUUCACCUGGCCGGUAUGCAGUAUUCGUCAAUCCUGUUCGAGCUAACUAAAUGGAGGCAAAAACGGACACUUUUCAGAGGAAAAGAAUCCAUCUGCAAGCGUUCUCUGAUCAAGGCGGAUACAGUGAUAGAGCUGUUUCCCAAAAAUCUUCUGGAGUACAGCUGUUGGAUAUGAACAAUACCUCUGUUAUACAGCAGUGAUUUGUGAAAGUGUGUACAAGAAAUCUCAUGCAGAGCAAGUCUUCAACAUAUUUUUUAAAGGAAACUAUCCUGGCAGCACUGGUCGCAAGACAACGAACAACCCAGUCUGCUAGUUUCUUUCUGAAAAGGUUGACCCCAAAAUAUACAAAGUAAAACAUUUCCAGGCUAGCAUUUGUUGUACUCACCAAUAAGACAUCAAUGUACUCUCUUCAAAAGCCUACAGUGGAGAAUAUUGUGGAAGUGUUACUAACGUCAGUAUUUUCCGUCUUGACUAAUGAUAUUAGGAGUCCCUAUCAGCAAUUGGCAUACCAUGAAGAUCUCCAUCUCUGCCAAACGCUCCCCUGCCUUCAAGGUGACUAUUCAAAAAGAUAAUCAUUUAAAUGAUCAUUAUGUUAUUAGUAAUUUUCUGUCGCAUCAUUUCUACUGAAAGGAUACAUGUAGUACUUACUGCACUGGAAAAAAAAAAAAGAAAAGUGAAAAUCAACAUAAAUACCCUCAUGACCUUUUCCAGCAUAAUCCAGCCAAGCAGGCCCCUUGAGACUUGACUUAUUUGCUCAUUAUCCUGUUUUCAUACAUUUUUCAUUAAAAUGUCACAAAAAAGGAGGAAAAAGAGACAAAAAAGGAUGGCCACACGCCCAACAAUCAAGACUAGCUGAACGCUGGCAGUCAGCAGGUCACCCAGUAAACCUCUAUGGGCUUGGCAAAGAUAUCCAGCAUUACUGUAUCCUGCCAGAGCUCGGCAGCUUAAGUUACUGGACUUUAUUUAACACAAUGUACAGCUAUCAAGAAAAAAAAAACUCAAAGAUAACAUUAAUAUGAUAAUUAGAACAAGCAUGAUUACUGAAUAACUCUCCGGUUAGGAGGACCAUAAUGCGUUCCAGAAACAUCUGCAGACUAACAAAUGUUCUUCUGAAAAGAGCAAAGAAAACUCUUCCCGAGAGCAGACUAUACUGAGUAUGCAACGGGCAUUUUUCUCACUCUUCAUUCAUGUUUUUUUGUGUGUAAAUGGUUCCUAAACUACAUAUGCAUUUCUAUUUAUUUAUUUAUGCAUUUAUAAGUAUAUUUGCUUACUAGGACUUUCUAAACAUUUAAAAGGUCAAAAGACAAUGGUAUAACAGUUAAUAUUGCAGCCUCAGGGUGUGUGGACCUUAAUUCCUUUCUUGGGUAAGAGUUAAAGCAAGCAGUUAAAGACCUUUAACUUAACAUGAAUACAAAUACAAAAGAACAAUCAGUCAGUAUACAAGCAAAUUUAUGAAACUACAUUUCUAAAAUGUAAAAACAAUAAUGAGAAAAUACACUUACUAAGCACACUUUUAGGGACACUAUACUAAUAAUGGGUUUUGCUCUCAAAAAAGCGUCAGUUCUUCAUGGGAUGGAUGUUGGAAACAUUUCUUUUGAGAUUCUGGUCCAUGUUGACUUGAUUGCAUCACACAAUUUCUAAACUUGUCAGCUGCACAUCGAUGCUACAAUUCUCCUGUUCUACCACAUCCCAAAGAUUUUCUACUGGAUUCAGAUCCAUUGACUGGGAAAGCCACUGAAGAACACUGAACUCAUUGUUAUGUUCGUGACACCAGUUUGAGAUGAUGUUUGCUUUGUGACAUGGUGCAUUAUCAUGCUGGAAGUAGCCAUUACAAAAUGGGUAAACUGUGGCCAUGAAGAUUACACAUGGUCAGCAACAAUACUCAAAUAGGCCUUGGCAUUCAAGUGAUAAUUGAUUGGUAUUAACAGGCCCAAAAUGUGCCAAGGAAGCAUUCACCAUACCAUUACAUCACCAGCAGCCUGGACUAUUGGCACAAGGUAGGUUGGGUGCAUGGAUUCAAGCCAUCAGCACCAAAAUCUGACAAUACCAGCUGUGAGCGGGAAUCAAGAUUCAUCGGACCAGGCUAUGUUCUUCCAGUCUUCAGUUGUCCAGUUAUGGUGAGCCUGUGCCCUCUGCAGCCUCAGCAUUCUGUUCUUGGCUGACAGAAGUGAAAAGCAACAUGGUCUUCUGCUGUUGUGGCCCAUCUGCCUUAAGGUUAGAUGUGUUGUACAUUCUGAGAUGCUGUUCUGCUCGCCACAGUUGUACUGAGUGGUCAUCUGAUCUGAUCAAGCCUUUCCGACUGCUCUUGUGAACAAAGUGCUUCCAUCCACAGAACUGCCGCUCUCAGUAUGUUUUUCAUUUCGCAUGCCAUUCUGAGUCAGCUCUACAGACAUUUGUGUGUGUAAAUACUUAAACCAGCUCAUCUGGCACCAACAAUCAUGCCACAGUUGACAUCACUGAGAUCUAAUUUUUCCCCACUCUGGUGUCUGAUGUGGCCAUUAACUGGAGCUCCUCACUUGUAUGCUUUUAUUAAUUGUGCUGCUGCCACAUGACUGGCUGAUUAGAUAAUUGCAUGCAUAAGCAGGUGUACGGCCAUUCCUAAUAAUCUGCUUAGAGUUUAUGUAGUGGAGGUUGUUAUAAUGCUGUGGGGCCACUGGCCCUCAGGCCUUACUGAAGAUAAGUGGCAUCACAAACUUUAUUAAGCAUCACAAUAUUCAAAACCUGGCUGCCCCUGUAAGAAAGCUAAUGGAAUUUCCAGCUUGAAUCUCUUCCUCCACAUACAUUAAAUCAACAAAAAGCUGGCUGAAAUGACAUUUUGGAAUGCCGUUCCUGGUCUCAAAAUUUAAACCAGAUUGAAAUUCUCUGGUGGGAAUUCCUGAGGAUCUAAGGAAAUCAAGAAUAUGAAAAAUUUCUUCAAGUUUUUUAAACUUUCCACUCCUUCAGUUUUCUAACCUGGUAACCCAGUUCAGGGUGAUGAGAGCCAGAGCCCAUCGUAGCAGCACUGGGCACAAAAUAUGCACUAAAACUUGAAGCGGUGCCAGUCCACUGCAGAAAACAUUUGUGCACAAACCAAUAUAUAGUGACUCACAUUGUCCUAAUUUAGGGUGGUCAGUUAAUAAGGCCUGGAAAGUUUUGGAUGGGAGACACUGGGACAAUGAAGUACUCAUUCAAAUUGGUGAUGAACACAAGGCCAUGCCCAACCCAGUACUCUUAAUUUGUAAGGCAGUUAACCAGUGCACUACUAUGCCACCCACCAUUAUGGGAAAAGACUUUGUGUUGUUCCAAAAGGGACUGCACCAAGUUCUAGAUUCUGGUGUUACAUGGCCAUACUGCCUCUCCUCUCCAGGAGAAUGUGUUCAAAUUCUGGCCAGGCCACUGUUUGAGCAGGGUUUGUUUUUUCGGGUAUUAUAUUUCUCUUCCUUCAUCUCUAAGACCUAAAUUUUAGGUUCAUUCACAAUGCAAAAUUAACCCAGUAGGAAUUUCUAUGGAUGUGUUCGUGUGAGUGUACACUGUGAAGUUGUGAUUUGUGUCCUAUUCCCAUUGCUGUCAGAAUGGGCUGUGGCCUGCCAUGAAAAUGGACUGCAUUAAGCAGUUUGUAAAGCUUGGCAUUGAUGAUGUUGUUUACGUUUGCUUGUAAAUGAUCAUAUUAGCAUAAAAGCUUUUUAUCUUUGCUCUUUAUUUUGUAAUGGGUACCAGUAAUUUUUGAGCUCACAUCGAAGUGUUUUUUCUAGACUUCAUUAUUGUAAUGCCCUCUUCUCUGGACUUCCUAGUUGUGCUACUAGAAGUCUUCAGCUUGUUCAGAAUGCUGCUAGAAUGCUAGAAUCUUGAGAAAAACAAAAACUAAAAACUAAAAAUCUAAAUAAAAAGUAAAACAAUUGUCUAUAAUUUGCCUGGACUAAGCAAGAGCUGGAGAUAUAAAUAACAUUUCUCUCUAUUAUAAAA